GUUCACCGACUUUGAACUCUCUUCUUUCAUCACUGUCGAACCCAUCCUCCUCACCUUCCAACUUGUUCUUCUUCUCACUAGUGGCAUGCAUCAUUUUUUCCCUUCUUCCCAUUUUCGAUUUUUCUACAACCAGAGAGAGAGAGAGACAGAGGCCUCCGUCGCUCCUCUGUUCUUCCCUAUCCUUUCCGUCCGUUUGCCGGUGACUGUGGGUGCUUUCAUUGCUGCCGUUGGAGGACUAGGUCGUGGGUUCUUCUCUUCCUCCUCUAUGGUUCAUCAUUGAUCCUUUCUCUUUCCUCUUCCCUUCGUGCUGCAAAGAGAUUCAGAUCCGGCUCUGUUUCGUGUUUGUGCUGUCGUCGUGAUGCGUCGGGCCUUCUAUUCCUCCCUCCACGUUUCAACGCCGCCACUGUGCUUCCAUUUCUCCUCUGUUUGUGAGCUGCUGUGCGUAGUUUCUGUCAAUCCUCUUCUUUGUUGUUCACUGUUCUACAUCGCGGGAGUCUCUUCUUCCCCUUCAUUUCUUCUUUGCUUUUUGGUAACUAGCUUCUCAAAGGAGUCCAUGUCUCAAUGGAUCUAGUAGUGCUGAUACUAGUGUUGACAUGAAUGACCAGCAAAUUCAGCUAGAAGCAAUUCAAAUAAUAAGAGGAUUGACAUUAAUGGCUGAGGUGAAUAGAAGAAGGGAUACUAGACAGAAAUAUGAAAUCAAAUGAAAUUACAAAAGUCAACCUAUCAAGAGCAACAGAAAUAAAUUCAUUACCUACAUAGAGGUUGUGGCAAAACCAAAUGUACCGAUUACAAUUAGGCACUGGAACAAUAUUACUCCAGCAACGAAGAAUAUAUUUGGGAGCAAUUAGAGGAAUUGAGCAACAAAAAGAAAGAGUUGCAUGAGAAAUAUCUAUACUCUUACAAGAAAGGGCCCAUAAGAUAUGCAGGAAUUGAGCAACAAAUGAUUGAGUGAGAGGGUUUAGGAGUAAGCUCAGUUUCACAUCACAAAGUCUUCAUAGAAAGUCAAACUAACAAAGAAGGAAACAAUGUUGAUGAACGUGUUUAGGAGCUUGAUGACAAAUGUACUGAGAUCGAGAAAAGUGGCACACUUGAUGAUGAUGUCUUGGACAAGGCAUUGGGUAAUCCCAAACACCCUGGUCGAGUUAGGAGCUAUGGCUUUAGUGUUAUGAAAAAACAAAUAUUCAGGAUACAAAAGGAGACAAAGUCAAUAGAGGAUGUAGGUGUAAGUGCUGAGAUUGCCACGCUAAAAAAGAAGCUAUCUAGGCAACGAAAUAUGAUUGAAGCCUUGCUAAAGGACAAGGAGAGGUGGGAGGAAGAGUUUCAUAUUAGUCCCAGCAAGGAAGAUAUAUUUUUACUCCUCUUCCCGUGCGAAAAAACAGAGCUUCGAGAGAGUUCAUUUUUCCUUCUCUUCACCGACCUUGAGUCCUCUCAUUCUUCAGCGUUGAGCCAUCUCUCUCUUGUCCUUGUUGUUGACUUAUUUGUUGCCAUCAACUUGAGCUGUCCUCACCGUUGUGGUUAGACGCUGGAAGUGUGAAGACGCUAGUUCUGCUGUUGUCAUUCUCUACUCUUUUAGGUUUGUACGGUGUGGUUUGGGAGCUAAAGAGUGGCAGCUCCACUACACGUUGGUUCAAGGUAAGACACUGAUUCUUCCUCUUUCUCCUUCGGUUUCAAUAGCAACAUGUAUUCUCCCUGUUCCUUGGCCGAAGAGUGUGCCCUUGUUCCUCUCAGUUGCUGUCAUGGAUUUUUCUGAAAUUGAGUGGUAGUUUCGGUUGAUACUAUGCAUUAUCCUAAGUUGGUGGUGGGCUUAAUGUUGAUGAUAGAAUUAAUGUUGGAAGUUGAUUAAAUGGUUGGGAGAUUAUUGUGAGUAGAAUUGGAAUGCACUCAAGAUGUUUGUAGAAAUGAUUGAGAGAAGAAAUUUAAAAAAAUAAUGUUGCUAAAUUGGUAUAGUAUAAUUUGGAAAGUUUAUGUGCCAGAAGUGGCUUGAUUUAUUGAUUGAAAUUUUAAAAUACUAAAUUAGGAGUAAGGAUUACAUAGAGUAUUUGUAUAACAAUUUAUUAAGUUUGAAGAAAGCAUAAGAAUAGUUGAUAUGAUUUAUGAUUGAAGAUGAGUUAUAGGAGGUAUAAGAAUGAAUUAAGAUAUAUUAAAUAGUUCAUUUGAUUCAAGUAUAUUUUGAUUGUUAAAAUGAUCAAAAGAAUAAUUUGGAUUAAUUAAAGUGGCUAAUUUCUAAUAUAGAAGUUUAGUGAAGUUUAUGUGUGUGUUUAGGUCUAUAGGUAAUGCAGUGCUAAGCUUGAAAUGUAUGAGAGAAGAAUUUGGCAGAAUGUAAGGGUUUAAUUUCCAUAUUGUUAGUUGAAGGAACAUGUGUAAGUAGUGAUUUGAGUCAUUAAUUAAGUUGGAAUUCUAAAGUACCUAAGGUAGAUCAUGUUAAAGUAAAUGAUGGUUGUGACAUUUUAUUAAGUUUCUGAAGGUACAAAAGGAGGUGGAAAUAUUGUCUAUUGUUUUAAUUGACUUGUUAAUAAGUUAAUUAAUCAAUAAUGAAUUUAUAGAUUGUAUAUUUUAGGUUGCUAUAUUGUUUGAAAAUCAAUUUAAAUGUUCACCAAGUGUUAGAAAAUUACUUGAUAAAUAAUUUUAGAAUUAUGAUUUAUUUGUCAGGAAAUUAAGAGCAUUAUUAGAAUUAAAGAGGAAAGUUAAAAGAUACAAGUUUUAGAAUUUUGGGAAAUUUUUAGGUGAGUGGGUAGUGUCCCAAAUAAUUUAUUGCAAAGUGUUUAUAAAUUUCUUUAUUUAAAUGUUUACAUUAUUCCUUUAUAAGUUGUAUAGAUAUUCUUGUCAAUUUUAAUUUUAGGAUUCAUACAAUUCUUUUUACUUGCCUAACUUUUAUAUUAGCUGGUUAUUAUGGAAUUUGCUUUAUAUUCAUUAAGAAUUAUGUUACUGUUAAAGAAUAUUUGGAUCUAGUACAUUAGUAACAGAAUAUUUAUUCUAAACAUUUUUGUUGUUUAAAUUUUAUGAUUUAUAUCACAUAUAAAAAAACGGUGAUUCAUGCAUAGAGAAAGUUGAAAAGAAAAUAUAAUAGUCGAAUAUUAUAUUUUGAAAAGAAUAGUUUUCAAUGUAUGUUUCAACUCCAUGCACGCUCGAUUUGAAUUAGGGGGACUAAGUUUUAGAAUGCUAGAUGCUAACGACAAUUCCGUUAGCCCUUGGUGCGCCAUGGUAUACCUAGCUAGCAGGGUGCUUAUAGGAGGUGUUAGCCCCGUGCACAGGCCAACGCACGUGGAAUGGAGGGAUGGAUAUUCGCGAGCAUUGUACUCACGCUUGUUUCGUGGAUUUCGUGCUUGACUUGUUUCAUAGCUUCUAGUCACGCUUGAUUAUUUCAUGGCUUUAAGCCGCGAUUGUUAGUUAUUUGCCCUCAUGGAUUGUGUUAACGCUUGUUAAUCGUUCUGAUAAAGUCCCACUAAAAGAGAAUUUUCAAAAACUUAUUAUUUUUAAAUUUAUUUUAUUAAACAAACUAUUAUUUGAUUGUAUAUGAUUUUAUAUGGUAAAUUUCCUCCUAAAUUGGUUUUAAAAGGAAAAAAAUCAUUGUUUUAUAUUAUUUAUUCACAAACACUUUUUUAUCAUUAUUUGAAUUCAUUUUAUAUACUUUUAUGAGUUGUACAAUUAUUGAUAACCUAUGAAACUCCAAAAUUAUUGGUUUAGUUCAUGGUUAUACUGUUGAGCAAACUUUAUCAUUUAUUGUUAGUAAAAUAUGGGUUUUAAUAUUCCAUUGAUUUGUUAUAAACCAAAUUUUUUAAUUAUUACUUUUACAUGUUUUAUAUAUAAUUUUCAUUGGGACGCUACUCAUCAAAAAAUUUCUUUAGUCUCAGAUAAUGUAGUUGAUCUUACACCUCCUACUAAUCAUUGAGGGGCUCUAUUGCUUUUUGGACAGUGGAAGCAUGCUUCAAUCAUUUAUUUUAAUGUAAAUAUUCAUUAUAUUAUAUAAUGGUACUUAGUGCUCCACGUAUAUUAUAGUUAAGUUCUGGUCUUAUUUUGUUAUCAUGUAAUCUUCUGGUGUGGAGCUAAGCUCCUUUUCUGGAUUGGCUGACAGGUUUAUUGAUUAUAGAAAUUUUGGAUGUCCUAAUUAGAGGGGAGGCUCUGUCGAAAUUUUC